rnacentral:lncRNA from 1 species
UUUGAAGGUAGAGAAAAGAAAAGAAAAGAAAAGAAAAGAGAAGAGAGAAAGAAAGAGAGAGAGAGAGAAUAAAAGGGAGGUCAAUGGUGAUAAAGAGAAUAGAGUUUUGUAUAGAGUUUUUGAAGAUAACAAUGGAUUUAGCGGCGGUAGUGGCUGAAGCCGCGAGAGUCUUAUUGAGCCACGCUCCUCAGGUUCCGCCCGUCCUCCCCCGCCAGUACUCCGCCUCUUCCUAUCAGUCUUCAGCUUACAUGAUUCCCUAUUUUCCCUGAGAUUAUAAUUCUUUGUAAUUUUCUGUAAAUAACAAAUUAAUAUAAAUUACGUCUUCUUUUUCAAUAUGUACGGAUUUAAUCCUGGCCGGCGAUGUAGCGGCAGCUUUAACACAGACCGCAAAGUUACAUAUCCAAUUUAUCUUGUAAGCUAUUUUUUAUUUAACCGCAUCGGCUUACUUUCUUUUGUGGGAUUCCUCC